GAAAUGCGAUAAGUAAUGUGAAUUGCAGAAUUCAGUGAAUCAUCGAAUCUUUGAACGCACCUUGCGCUCCUUGGUAUUCCUUGGAGCAUGCCUGUUUGAGUAUCAUGAAAUCUUCAAAGUAAAUCUUUUGUUAACUCAAUUGGUUUCUACUUUGGUAUUGGAGGUCUUUGCAGCUUCACACCUGCUCCUCUUUGUUCAUUAGCUGGAUCUCAGUGUAUGCUUGGUUCCACUCGGCGUGAUAAGUUAUCUAUCGCUGAGGACACUGUAAAAGGUGGCCAAGGUAAAUGCAGAUGAACCGCUUCUAAUAGUCCAUUGACUUGGACAAUACUUUUAUGAUCUGAUCUCAAAUCAGGUAGGACUACCCGCUGAACUUAAGC
rnacentral:misc_RNA from 1 species